UCCGAAGGUUUGCCCUCGAUUUCACCAGGUUAAGCCAACUCCAGUAGUGUUAUGAUCAGAAAGACUUCUGAAAUGCUGAUCUGUAACCUGAUGACUGUUGAAUAUGUAAAAAAAAAAAAAAUGUCCUGCAUCCACACAUAAAAACCUAAAGAAUGUAUUUGACAAGUCCGUCAGCUUCCCUGGAGCCUCUAGAACUGAAAAAGAACUGCAGGUUUUGGUAAAGUCAUGAAAGCAAGAACAGAAGAAAGGCAAAGAGAAGCACAUGGGCCAAGUUAAGGACUAUGAUGAUAUUCCUUAGGAUUUUUUAGUACAUUUGCCUAUGUGGGUGGAAAGUGGAGAGAUGAAUCUCCUCUUACUGUUAAUAACUGGGCAAUUUGGGUUAAGUGAUAGUAUGUGCUUCUUUUUGAGUAUAUUUAAAGGUUUGGAGAGGUAGGAUUGAAACCAGCUUUUCAAGUAAGCUUAAUUGUUGUUUAGUUUGUUGAACACGAGCCAUUUAAAUCUUGCAAAUCUAUGCUUACUGGUGGGAAGCUGCUCUGAAUGUGACCCCUAAUAUAGUGAUGAGAGCAAAAGGUUUGAAUGAUGCGAGGAAGAGAUCCUUCAUCUUCUGUUCUCUGGACUUUUUCUUAAAGAGAUAUGUCUGAUUACUUUUAUAUGGACACAUGGGUAAUCCUAGAUAGUUACCUCAUUUCACUGACUUAAUGAGAUCUACAGAAUCCCUUUUACCAUAUAACUAACAUUAAAUUUUCAUGGAUUAGCACCUGCAACUCUUAACCUACCACACUGAGCAUUAAUGAAUUGCAUAGCUAUAGAGUCACCAACAAGAUGUGGCUAUCUCAGGUACAGGGCUACAUCACCUGGGGACCAGGCUAAUGUUCCUAGGGAUGCCUCCUUCUGGUUCAUUGCUUUAUCAGAGAAGGACAGUGGGGCUGUACAGAAAGAAUUAACUCUGUUUAUCUUUGAAAUGCCUGAUCACAAGGUUGGCCGUUUUCUGGUGUUUGGGAACUGCAAUUUAGGGAGGGUUCCCACUUUUUGCAGAACUGAUGAGAAUGAGUCAUUGUACAUAAAUUAUUUC